rnacentral:rRNA from 1 species
UACGUAGGGGGCAAGCGUUGGUCCGGAAUCAUUGGGCGUAAAGCGCGCGUAGGCGGCCCGGUAAGUCCGUUGUGAAAGUCAAAGGCUCAACCUUUGAAUGCCGACGGAUACUGCCGGGCUAGAGUACGGAAGAGGCGAGUGGAAUUCCUGGUGUAGCGGUGGAAUGCGCAGAUAUCAGGAGGAACACCUAUAGCGAAGGCAGCUCGCUGGGACGUUACUGACGCUGAGGCGCGAAAGCGUGGGGAGCAAACAGG